AUGUGCAGCUCUGCCCUGGAGUUGGCUAAGGGAGGAGUCAGGGCCGGUGGUGAGAAGCGCAGGCCCAGAUACCAGCACUCGCUCAUCCCAGACAUGAACCCUGAGAUACCUACGGAGCCCGUCCAUGGUGUCUCUGUGUUUGCAGGUGUCCAGUGUGAGGUGCAGCUGGUGGAGUCUGGGGGAGGCUUGGUUCAGCCCGGGGGGUCCCUGAGACUCUCCUGUGCAGCCUCUGGAUUCACCUUCAGCAGCUAUAGCAUGAAUUGGGUCCGCCAGGCUCCAGGGAAGGGGCUGGAGUGGGUUUCAUACAUUAGAUAUGAUGGUAGGUAGCACAUACUACGCAGACUCCGUGAAGGGCCGAUUCACCAUCUCCAGAGACAACGCCAAGAACUCGCUGUAUCUGCAGAUGAACAGCCUGAGAGCCGAGGACACGGCCGUGUAUUACUGUGCGAGAGACAGGGAAGUCAGUGUGAGCCCGGACACAAACCUCCUGCAGGGGACCCCGCGACCACCAGGGGGGCGCCCGGGCGCUGUGCACGGGGCUGUCUCGGGCAGAAAGUCCGGAAUAUCACUGAGUCUUCUGCAAGGCAAAGCUGCCCCUCAGGAAACCCCCAAGACCCCCAGCAGGGGCUCUGGCUCAGAUGAGUGCAGAGAUCACUCUCUUCCUGAGAAUGGAGCACAGGACAUGGGCUUCGGCAUGAGCCACGUCGUGCACAUCGGAGAGCAGCAGCCAGAUGCAUGA